rnacentral:rRNA from 1 species
GACGAACGCUGGCGGCGUGCUUAACACAUGCAAGUCGAACGGAAAGGCCUCUUUCGGGGGGUACUCGAGUGGCGAACGGGUGAGUAACACGUGAGUAACCUGCCCUUGACUUUGGGAUAACUUCAGGAAACUGGGGCUAAUACCGGAUAGGAGCUCCUGCUGCAUGGUGGGGGUUGGAAAGUUUCGGCGGUUGGGGAUGGACUCGCGGCUUAUCAGCUUGUUGGUGGGGUAGUGGCUUACCAAGGCUUUGACGGGUAGCCGGCCUGAGAGGGUGACCGGCCACAUUGGGACUGAGAUACGGCCCAGACGCCUACGGGAGGCAGCAGUGGGGAAUAUUGCACAAUGGGUGGAAGCCUGAUGCAGCAACGCCGUGUGCGGGAGGACGGGCUUCGGGUUGGAAACCGCUUUCGCUCAUGACGAAGCUUUGUGUGACGGUAGUGGGUAAAGAAGCACCGGCUAACUACGUG